rnacentral:rRNA from 1 species
UACGUAGGCAGCAAGCGUUGUUCGGAAUUACUGGGCGUAAAGAGUGUGUAGGCGGUGCUCUAAGUUCGGUGUGAAAUCUCCCGGCUUAACUGGGAGGGUGCGCCGGAAACUGGAGUGCUCGAGCGUGGGAGAGGAAAGCGGAAUUCCUGGUGUAGCGGUGAAAUGCGUAGAUAUCAGGAGGAACACCGGUGGUGUAGACGGCUUUCUGGACCAUAGCUGACGCUGAGACACGAAAGCGUGGGUAGCAAACAGG